rnacentral:rRNA from 1 species
UACGUAGGGUGCGAGCGUUAAUCGGAAUUACUGGGCGUAAAGCGUGCGCAGGCGGUUUUGUAAGCCAGGUGUGAAAUCCCCGGGCUCAACCUGGGAAUGGCAUUUGGGACUGCAAGGCUGGAGUGCGGCAGAGGAGACUGGAAUUCCUGGUGUAGCAGUGAAAUGCGUAGAUAUCAGGAGGAAUACCGAUGGCGAAGGCAGGUCUCUGGGCUGGCACUGACGCUCAUGCACGAAAGCGUGGGGAGCAAACAGG